GAUCAUUAUCGAAAUAAAUCUGAUGAGUUGCUGCUGGUUCUCUAAGGGAGCAUGUGCACACUUGUCAUCUUUAUAUCUCCACCUGUGCACCUUUUGUAGACCUGGAUCACUCUCCGAAUGCUAGCCAUUCAGGAUUGAGGAAUUGACUUCACAUUCUCUUCUUCUAUUUCCAGGCCUAUGUUUCUUCAUAUACCCCAAUGUAUGUCGUAGAAUGUAAUCAAAUGGCCUUUGUGCCUAUAAAUCUAUACAACUUUCAGCAACGGAUCUCUUGGCUCUCGCAUCGAUGAAGAACGCAGCGAAAUGCGAUAAGUAAUGUGAAUUGCAGAAUUCAGUGAAUCAUCGAAUCUUUGAACGCACCUUGCGCUCCUUGGUAUUCCGAGGAGCAUGCCUGUUUGAGUGUCAUUAAUAUAUCAACCUCUUCAGCUUUUGCUCGUUGAGUGUUGGAUGUGGGGGGUCAUUUUUGCUGGUCUUCUAUGGUCAGCUCCCCUGAAAUGCAUUAGCGGAACAAUUUGUGGACCGUUCAUUAGUGUGAUAACUAUCUACGCUAUCGACGUGAAGCAGUUCAGCUUCUAACAGUCCAUUGACUUGGACAAAAUUUUUAUUAAUGUGACCUCAAAUCAGGUAGGACUACCCGCUGAACUUAAGC
rnacentral:sRNA from 2 species